rnacentral:rRNA from 1 species
UACGUAGGUGGCGAGCGUUGUCCGGAUUUAUUGGGCGUAAAGGGCGCGCAGGCGGCCUGUUAAGUCUGGUGUGAAAGCUCCCGGCUCACCCGGGAGAGGGCGCUGGAGACUGGCAGGCUGGAGGGAGGCAGAGGCCGGUGGAAUUCCCGGUGUAGUGGUGAAAUGCGUAGAUAUCGGGAGGAACACCAGUGGCGAAGGCGGCCGGCUGGGCCUUACCUGACGCUGAGGCGCGAAAGCCAGGGGAGCAAACGGG